AGAGUUUGAUCCUGGCUCAGGAUGAACGCUAGCGACAGGCUUAACACAUGCAAGUCGAGGGGCAGCGGGGGUGAUGGCUUGCCAUCACCUGCCGGCGACCGGCGCACGGGUGAGUAACACGUAUGCAACCUGCCCGCCACAGGGGGAUAAGCGGAAGAAAUUCCGUCUAAUACCGCGUGACGCGGCGUCGGGGCAUCCCGGUGCCGCCAAAGGGAUUACCGGUGGCGGAUGGGCAUGCGGCGCAUUAGCUAGUCGGCGGGGUAACGGCCCACCGAGGCGACGAUGCGUAGGGGUUCUGAGAGGAAGGUCCCCCACACUGGUACUGAGACACGGACCAGACUCCUACGGGAGGCAGCAGUGAGGAAUAUUGGUCAAUGGGCGGGAGCCUGAACCAGCCAAGUCGCGUGAGGGAUGACGGUCCUACGGAUUGUAAACCUCUUUUGCCGGGGAGCAAGCGUGCGUUCGUGAACGCGCGUCGAGAGUACCCGGAGAAAAAGCAUCGGCUAACUCCGUGCCAGCAGCCGCGGUAAUACGGAGGAUGCGAGCGUUAUCCGGAUUUAUUGGGUUUAAAGGGUGCGUAGGCGGGAUGCCAAGUCAGCGGUAAAAAUGCGGUGCUCAACGCCGUCGAGCCGUUGAAACUGGCGUUCUUGAGUGGGCGAGAAGUAUGCGGAAUGCGUGGUGUAGCGGUGAAAUGCAUAGAUAUCACGCAGAACUCCGAUUGCGAAGGCAGCAUACCGGCGCCCUACUGACGCUGAGGCACGAAAGCGUGGGUAUCGAACAGGAUUAGAUACCCUGGUAGUCCACGCAGUAAACGAUGAAUGCUAACUGUCCGGUGCGAGUGAGCGCUGGGCGGUACAGCGAAAGCGUUAAGCAUUCCACCUGGGGAGUACGCCGGCAACGGUGAAACUCAAAGGAAUUGACGGGGGCCCGCACAAGCGGAGGAACAUGUGGUUUAAUUCGAUGAUACGCGAGGAACCUUACCCGGGCUCAAACGCAGGAUGACGGGUCCCGAAAGGGGCCUUUCUUCGGACAUUCUGCGAGGUGCUGCAUGGUUGUCGUCAGCUCGUGCCGUGAGGUGUCGGCUUAAGUGCCAUAACGAGCGCAACCCCUGUCCACAGUUGCCAGCAGGUAAAGCUGGGGACUCUGUGGAGACUGCCGGCGCAAGCUGCGAGGAAGGCGGGGAUGACGUCAAAUCAGCACGGCCCUUACGUCCGGGGCGACACACGUGUUACAAUGGCAGGUACAGCGGGAUGCCACGGGGCGACCCGGCGCUGAACCCGAAAACCUGUCUCAGUUCGGAUUGGAGUCUGCAACCCGACUCCAUGAAGCUGGAUUCGCUAGUAAUCGCGCAUCAGCCACGGCGCGGUGAAUACGUUCCCGGGCCUUGCACUCGCCGCCCGUCAAG
rnacentral:rRNA from 1 species